AACAAAGAGUUCAUCAAAUGGCUUUAGAAGACGAAGAGUGGGCUUGUUGACUGGUCCACCCCGAGGGAGGUGUUUAGCAUCAACAGUGUGAGCAAAAUCGAACUCGCCUCGCAGUUUUUCAGCUAGCGUUAAAUAGUUCUCGAAUUUCUCUCCGGAGGGGUCUGGAAAUAUACCAACAACAAAGAUACUUUUCUCAUCAAUAAGGUUUGUGGCAUCUUCCUUCGACUUGAUUUCAGCAGAUGCAGGACCCACUUGUUUCUUCAAGUAGGAUACAAUACCAGCUGCUUCACGAGGACCGUUAUAGUCUUGAACUUUCUUUCCUCCAUCUCUCAAUAUCUUAAUAGUUGGGAAACCCUGGAUCUCGUACUGUUUUGAAAGUUCUCUAUUGGCUUCAUCAUUUGCAUCAUACUUAGCUAGAACAAUUGGAGGGUCAUGACUACUCAGCUCUGAGGCAGCUUUUUCAUACUCAGGAGCAAGACUCUUACAGUGUCCACACCAAGGUGCAUAGAAUUCAACAACAAUGAAGUUGUGCUUAGCAACAGUCUCAGUGAGGUUAGAAUGGUCCAAAGUCAACACAUAUUCGUUCUCCUCAGCAAAAACACCACAAACUGCAAGAACAACAAGAGCUGAAACAAUUACCAAAAUGCCACUCUUUGCCAUUUUUG
rnacentral:misc_RNA from 1 species